rnacentral:rRNA from 1 species
AGAGAUUGAACAUAAGAGUUUGAUCCUGGCUCAGAUUGAACGCUGGCGGCAUGCUUUACACAUGCAAGUCGGACGGCAGCACAGAGAAGCUUGCUUCUUGGGUGGCGAGUGGCGAACGGGUGAGUAACAUAUCGGAACGUACCGAGUAGUGGGGGAUAACUGAUCGAAAGAUCAGCUAAUACCGCAUACGUCUUGAGAGGGAAAGCAGGGGACCUUCGGGCCUUGCGCUAUUCGAGCGGCCGAUAUCUGAUUAGCUAGUUGGUGGGGUAAAGGCCUACCAAGGCGACGAUCAGUAGCGGGUCUGAGAGGAUGAUCCGCCACACUGGGACUGAGACACGGCCCAGACUCCUACGGGAGGCAGCAGUGGGGAAUUUUGGACAAUGGGCGCAAGCCUGAUCCAGCCAUGCCGCGUGUCUGAAGAAGGCUUUCGGGUUGUAAAGGACUUUUGUCAGGGAAGAAAAGGCUGUUGCUAAUAUCAGCGGCUGAUGACGGUACCUGAAGAAUAAGCACCGGCUAACUACGUGCCAGCAGCCGCGGUAAUACGUAGGGUGCGAGCGUUAAUCGGAAUUACUGGGCGUAAAGCGGGCGCAGACGGUUACUUAAGCAGGAUGUGAAAUCCCCGGGCUCAACCCGGGAACUGCGUUCUGAACUGGGUGACUCGAGUGUGUCAGAGGGAGGUAGAAUUCCACGUGUAGCAGUGAAAUGCGUAGAGAUGUGGAGGAAUACCGAUGGCGAAGGCAGCCUCCUGGGAUAACACUGACGUUCAUGCUCGAAAGCGUGGGUAGCAAACAGGAUUAGAUACCCUGGUAGUCCACGCCCUAAACGAUGUCAAUUAGCUGUUGGGCAACUUGAUUGUUCAGUAGCGUAGCUAACGCGUGAAAUUGACCGCCUGGGGAGUACGGUCGCAAGAUUAAAACUCAAAGGAAUUGACGGGGACCCGCACAAGCGGUGGAUGAUGUGGAUUAAUUCGAUGCAACGCGAAGAACCUUACCUGGUCUUGACAUGUACGGAAUCCUCCAGAGACGGAGGAGUGCCUUCGGGAGCCGUAACACAGGUGCUGCAUGGCUGUCGUCAGCUCGUGUCGUGAGAUGUUGGGUUAAGUCCCGCAACGAGCGCAACCCUUGUCAUUAGUUGCCAUCAUUCAGUUGGGCACUCUAAUGAGACUGCCGGUGACAAGCCGGAGGAAGGUGGGGAUGACGUCAAGUCCUCAUGGCCCUUAUGACCAGGGCUUCACACGUCAUACAAUGGUCGGUACAGAGGGUAGCCAAGCCGCGAGGUGGAGCCAAUCUCACAAAACCGAUCGUAGUCCGGAUUGCACUCUGCAACUCGAGUGCAUGAAGUCGGAAUCGCUAGUAAUCGCAGGUCAGCAUACUGCGGUGAAUACGUUCCCGGGUCUUGUACACACCGCCCGUCACACCAUGGGAGUGGGGGAUACCAGAAGUAGGUAGGGUAACCGCAAGGAGUCCGCUUACCACGGUAUGCUUCAUGACUGGGGUGAAGUCGUAACAAGGUAGCCGUAGGGGAACCUGCGGCUGGAUCACCUCCUUUCUA